GAUGAACGCUGGCGGUAUGCUUAACACAUGCAAGUCGAACGGACUCUUCGGAGUUAGUGGCGGACGGGUGAGUAACGCGUGAGAAUCUGGCUUUGGGUUCGGGACAACCACUGGAAACGGUGGCUAAUACCGGAUGUGCCGAGAGGUAAAAGAGAAAUUGCCUGAAGAUGAGCUCGCGUCUGAUUAGCUAGUUGGUGAGGUAAAGGCUCACCAAGGCAGCGAUCAGUAGCUGGUCUGAGAGGAUGACCAGCCACACUGGGACUGAAACACGGCCCAGACUCCUACGGGAGGCAGCAGUGGGGAAUUUUCCGCAAUGGGCGAAAGCCUGACGGAGCAAUACCGCGUGAGGGAAGAAGGCUCUUGGGUUGUAAACCUCUUUUCUUAGGGAAGAACAAAAUGACGGUACCUAAGGAAUCAGCAUCGGCUAACUCCGUG
rnacentral:rRNA from 1 species